GUCAUACUUCCUCCGUUCGGAAUUACUUGUCGCGAAAAUGGAUGUAUCUAGAUGUAUUUUAGUUCUAGAUACAUCCAUUUCCGAGACAAGUAAUUCCGAACGGAGGGAGUACCUC
rnacentral:pre_miRNA from 1 species